CUUUAUUGGAGUAGUGUGUACGGUUUGUAGCCAUAGCAACGUCUGACACCACCCGGAGCAGAGCGCACCGAGCCGCGGGUCCACGCUGCUAAAUCAUCCGCUAAACCAGUCGAUCGAUGGAUCAGACGCAUCGGUAGCGGAUACUCGCGUCGAACUGCAAAAUGUGAACGACGUCGAGUUCGUAUGGCGUCUGGCGAUGACAUUUCGAGUGUCUCCACCGCCUUCUAAGAGGAGCUCGGGUUGCAGCCCGAAGCGCUGCGAGUCGCUCGGUGACGUCAAAGCGAUGAUCAAGACCUCGAGGGACGCGAGCUUGCUGCCAGAGCGGAGUAAAUUGCCAUACAUUCCCAGUUUAGCCAAUGAUCAUAUACAACGGACCGGAACCCUGAACCCACCUCUGCCAAAGAACUAUCACGUGCACCGGACCGGAAAACUGCAGCCUAUUGGCGCCCCCCAUGGGCAAGGCCGGCCCCUCUCCCUGAGGUACUAAACACAAAACCUGCUGCUAACCGGCUGUCCUCAGGGAGGGGCUACAGACCGUAUACAGAAAGUAUAUACCCUAGUUUUGCCUGUCAUGUCUGAGCUCCUGUGAAGGCUACAGCCUCGGCACUAACCCAACGUUCCUCUUACCCUCUGCGUUGGUCCUCAACAAGAGGAACACCCUCUCCGUGGACCACUGCCUGUUAAACAGGCCUAAAGGGAAUCAACGCACCUACAACCUGUUGACCAUCAAAGACAUUCAAAAAGUCCUGCUCACAGAACAGGACGCCGGCUCCGAUAUGAGUCUCCACUGCUCGCUGAGGCCAUUUUACGACCAGGUACUUCAAAGGCAGGGCGUGUCGGACCUGUCACGGCCUGCGCUGAUGGCUCCAUCUCGGUGACCUCCGACCUUUGAACAUGUCAGGGGUCGUUCCCGGACCCUGUGGCAGGGGCCCCGUACCCCUUCCUCCAGAGGGUCUCUGAGCUGGCGGCUCUGGAGGGGGACACGGCCCGGCAGGAGAAGCUGGUGAAGAUGACUAAGAACAGAAAGCAGGAGUCCUGAUGAGCCCACAACAUCAUCUCAGAGGAAACCCCUAGAGUAGAACCACCUCGUCUUCGAGGGGACCUCAUCGGUGAAUCCACGGGUCCAGGAUCCAAACAUCUCCCAUGGUGCCAAAGUUAUACAGACUUUUAUCGGUUGCGUCAGUUUCCUGCGUCAGUGUAUUGAUUUAUACUUUCUGUUCCUCGAUAGUGUUUGCCGACAACAGUGAAGUCUGCUCUUUAUUUCAGGUAUAAGUUGUCAGUAUUUCCCUUCUGUUAUCUAAAAUUGUUCUUGAUCAUUCUUGCGCAUCCCCUGAAAGAAAUAGCACAUAUUUACUUCAAAACUGUCUGUGUAUCAGUAUCUACAUUGGAUUGCAAGUCUGGCACAUCAACAGACUGGCUUUUCUAUCCCAUUUUGGCCCAGUUAGCAUUUUGGGCCAAAAUGCUAACUGGCUUUCCAGUAUUUGGCAUUUAUUCACAUUGAAACAAUAAAUGUAUUGUGGAGUUUUUCUGAGGUCAAUAUCUUUGAUGUACACUUAUGGUUAUUCUGUGUUUAUCACACACAGUAGGCUGAAUCGUAUGGGAGUCGUAUCAAUGGGAAUAUUUAUCCUCCUCUCUGUGACCAUGGGCUUGAGAUAGGCGCCGUAAUUACUGGAUGCCUGAAUGAUGGCGCUGGAUCUAAAU
ensembl:lncRNA